rnacentral:rRNA from 1 species
CAAAAACAUCUUUUCUUGUUAGUUUUUGAAGUAUGGCCUGCCCACUGACUUUGAGUUGAAGGGCCGCGGUAUUUUGACCGUGCAAAGGUAGCAUAAUCAUUAGUUCUUUAAUUGUGAUCUGGUAUGAAUGGCUUGACGAGAUAUAAGCUGUCUUAGAGGUAUUAUUUAUUGAAUUUAGGGUUUGAGUUAAAAUUCUUAGAUGUUUUUAUGGGACGAGAAGACCCUAUAGAGUUUGACAUUUGUUUAUCUUUAUUUAUUUAUGGUUUGUUUUAUUUUGUGUGAGUUGGAUAAUUGUUUUGUUGGGGUGAUGGGAGGAAUUUUUUUAACUCCUCUUUACUUUUUUAUAUUUAUGUAUAUAUUGUUUGAUCCAUUUAUUUUGAUUAUAAGAUUAAAUUACCUU